rnacentral:rRNA from 1 species
GUCCACGCCCUAACGAUGAUGACUAGUUGUUGGAGGAGUUAAAUCCUUUAGUAACGCAGCUAACGCGAGAAGUCAUCCGCCUGGGUAGUACGGUCGCAAGAUUAAACUCAAGGAAUUGACGGGGCCCGCACAAGCGGUGGAUGAUGUGGUUUAAUUCGACGCAACGCGAAACCUUAACCUACCCUUGACAUGUACGGAACCUCAUAGAGAUGUGAGGGUGCCCGAAAGGGAGCCGUAACACAGGUGCUGCAUGGCUGUCGU